AAGCUUGUGCGCAUGCGUGCUGAAGUACUUCCUUUUCAAUCAAGCAAGCAAGACGAAGAGCGAAGAUUUGAAUUGGAAAUCGAACUAUUUCACUGCAAAGAAAACCAUCGACGUCCGUAAAAAUUCAGAAAUUGGAGACAGUGGAGGAACUACUCGACCUUGACGAGUUGAUAAAAACUCAACCAAGCAAGAAAGACUUGCUGACAGCCAGGCUCUCAAAGAUUGGUGGAUAUGACUUAAAGAGCUGUUUAAGCACCAUCAUGGACAGGCUCAUGACAAAUGAAUUAAUGUCCAAUCUGAACAUGAAGGGGAGAGGGGGAAAAAAUUGCUUUGCCGAGACGAAGCUGCUUGAUGUAGUCACAGCUAGUGUCUUGGAUACCCAGAAGGGGACCGAAACGAUGGUCCAUAAAAAAUAAACUGAAAUAUGCCCCUGGACGGAAGGGAGGAAUAGGAUGGGCAUCACAGGCUAAAUAAAUAAUUAUAUCGAU